AUUGAACGCUGGCGGCAGGCCUAACACGUGCAAGUCGAGCGGAUGACGGGAGCUUGCUCCUUGAUUCAGCGGCGGACGGGUGAGUAAUGCCUAGGAAUCUGCCCGGUAGUGGGGGACAACGUUUCGAAAGGAACGCUAAUACCGCAUACGUCCUACGGGAGAAAGCAGGGGACCUUCGGGCCUUGCGCUAUCAGAUGAGCCUAGGUCGGAUUAGCUAGUUGGUGGGGUAAUGGCUCACCAAGGCGACGAUCCGUAACUGGUCUGAGAGGAUGAUCAGUCACACUGGAACUGAGAAACGGUCCAGACUCCUACGGGAGGCAGCAGUGGGGAAUAUUGGACAAUGGGCGAAAGCCUGAUCCAGCCAUGCCGCGUGUGUGAAGAAGGUCUUCGGAUUGUAAAGCACUUUAAGUUGGGAGGAAGGGCAGUAAGUUAAUACCUUGCUGUUUUGACGUUACCGACAGAAUAAGCACCGGCUAACUCUGUGCCAGCCGCCGCGGUAA
rnacentral:rRNA from 1 species